rnacentral:tRNA from 1 species
UCCGUGGUAGCUCAGAUGGUAAAGGGUCUGCCUGCGAUGCAGGAGAGCCGGGUUCGAUCCCCGGGUCAGGGAG